UUUCCUUAUUGAGCAUAUGUAACUCACUCUUUCCUUGCCCCCCAGAUAAGGAAGAAAGUGAAAAAUCGCAAGCUGACCUACCUUUGGAAGUCUAUGAGGAUCCCAUGGAUCCACAAGUCUGAGUGCAUGACUGUUCACGCACUUUGAUGAGCCCAAUAGCAUAGUGAAAGAAGUGGCCCUUAUAUUUUGCUUUUUUUUUGUAUUUUGCCGCUACUUCUGGUCUCAGUAUAU
rnacentral:lncRNA from 1 species